rnacentral:rRNA from 1 species
UACGUAGGGCGCAAGCGUUAUCCGGAAUUAUUGGGCGUAAAGAGCGUGUAGGCGGCCCGACAGGUCCGUUGUGAAAACUCGAGGCUCAACCUCGAGACGUCGAUGGAAACCGUCGGGCUAGAGUCCGGAAGAGGAGAGUGGAAUUCCUGGUGUAGCGGUGAAAUGCGCAGAUAUCAGGAGGAACACCAAUGGCGAAGGCAGCUCGCUGGGACGUGACUGACGCUGAGACGCGAAAGCGUGGGGAGCAAACAGG